GCUGGUUAUUGUCAGAGAGAGGAUUUUGGACUAGUUGGGCCUUCAUGGUUGCAAAAGAAUAGCAAAAUGUAAUGCUCAGUUUCAUAAUGGUCAUUUCUGGGUGUUGCAAGCAAACUCAGAGCACUUCUUUCAUGACAAUCUCUCUGCCUCAUCCCUCUCUACGGGGAGAAAUUUCAUUUUCUUGGAGGUACUUUGACAGCAAGGUUGACUAGUCCCAGUGCCAGGAGAGGCAGGAAGGGCAAUCUGAGCAAUCCCCAGAGCAAAAGAGGGCAUACAGGGAGGAAAGGUGAGAGCCAGAAUGGGAAAAGAUAUUCAGUAGGGACCUCCAUGGAUAUCUUUUGCUGCCUCUUUUCUUUUAAGUGUCCUUAUUUCAAACAUUAAGGUGUUUGUUAAGUAUAGAGAAAGCAAUUUCUUUGAAACUGGGUAUAACCUUGGAAAAUGACUCCAUUAUGAUCAUACUCUCAAAAAGCAGUUUGUGUUUCAUUUCCAUUUUGGCAGGUGUAUCAUGUGUUCCCCUAGAAGAAUUUUUUGUCUGGUAUAUUCAAAGAGACAUAAAGUAAGCUGAAAUCAUGCCAGACUAAGACCAAACAUGGUAAUACCAAUAACCCAAAUGAAGAUGUUUCCAUUUAUUAGCAUCUGCUCAAAAAGGAUUCACUGAGGGACGCCUUCAUAGCAUAUGGAUUAAGGUCUUCUUUUCCUAUCUACAGCUUUGCAUUACCAGCAUUUAUUGUCUUGUCUUAUUUUUGCAUCUUUCAUUCUGGCUGGCGUUCAAGGUAAUCUAAAAAUAAAUUUUAUCUGGCUGUAUUUCAGUUUCAGGUAGACGAAGGAUUUAUUGAUAUUCCCGUUCGUGCCACAACUUAUUGUCAUUGUGAUAUGAUGAGUAUAUGUGUGUGAGAGAGAGCAACAGAGGGAGAAAGGAGAGAGAUUUUUCCACCAUUUUACAUAUGUGGAGAAAACCUUGCUUCUUGUUCUUCUCAGAGUCCCUGAUGACCUGGCUUUCUCAUUAUGGCUUCAGUGCAAUAGAAGAAUGUACUCUCUUGUGA
rnacentral:lncRNA from 1 species